rnacentral:rRNA from 1 species
AUUGAACGCUGGCGGCAGGCUUAACACAUGCAAGUCGAGCGGUAGCACAAGAGAGCUUGCUCUCUGGGUGACGAGCGGCGGACGGGUGAGUAAUGUCUGGGAAACUGCCUGAUGGAGGGGGAUAACUACUGGAAACGGUAGCUAAUACCGCAUAACGUCGCAAGACCAAAGAGGGGGACCUUCGGGCCUCUUGCCAUCAGAUGUGCCCAGAUGGGAUUAGCUAGUAGGUGGGGGUAUGGCUCACCUAGGCGACGAUCCGUAGCUGGUACGAGAGGCAGACCAGCCAGACUGUAACAGAGACACGUUCGAGACUCCGAGAGUAGGAAGCAGCGGGGAAUCUUGCACAAUGGGGGAAAGCCUGAUGCAGCAAAGUCGCGUGAGUCAAGAAGGAGCUAGGGUUGUAAAGCAAUUACAGCGAGGAGGAAGGUGGUGAACUUAAUACGUUCAGCAAUUGACGUUACUCGCAGAAGAAGCACCGGCUAACUCCGUG